rnacentral:rRNA from 1 species
UACGUAGGGGGCAAGCGUUGUCCGGAAUCAUUGGGCGUAAAGAGCGCGUAGGCGGUCCGGUAAGUCGGUUGUGAAAACUGGGGGCUCAACCCUCAGAGGCCGACCGAUACUGCCGGGCUAGAGUCCGGAAGAGGCGAGUGGAAUUCCUGGUGUAGCGGUGAAAUGCGCAGAUAUCAGGAAGAACACCCGUGGCGAAGGCGGUUCUCUGGAACGCAACUGACGCUGAGACGCGAAAGCGUGGGGAGCAAACAGG